rnacentral:rRNA from 1 species
AGACCCGAAACCCGGUGAUCUAGCCAUGGGCAGGUUGAAGGUUGGGUAACACUAACUGGAGGACCGAACCGACUAAUGUUGAAAAAUUAGCGGAUGACCUGUGGCUGGGGGUGAAAGGCCAAUCAAACCGGGAGAUAGCUGGUUCUCCCCGAAAGCUAUUUAGGUAGCGCCUCGUGAAUUCAUCUCCGGGGGUAGAGCACUGUUUCGGCUAGGGGGCCAUCCCGGCUUACCAACCCGAUGCAAACUGCGAAUACCGGAGAAUGUUAUCACGGGAGACACACGGCGGGUGCUAACGUCCGUCGUGAAGAGGGAAACAACCCAGACCGCCAGCUAAGGUCCCAAAGUCAUGGUUAAGUGGGAAACGAUGUGGGAAGGCCCAGACAGCCAGGAUGUUGGCUUAGAAGCAGCCAUCAUUUAAAGAAAGCGUAAUAGCUCACUGGUCGAGUCGGCCUGCGCGGAAGAUGUAACGGGGCUAAACCAUGCACCGAAGCUGCGGCAGCGAACGUAUCACCCAAGACAACUUUACGGAGUUGACGAUUGACGGAGCGAAGCGACGUCAAAGCGUUCAUUAAAGUCGAGUUGGCUUAGGGAUACGUUCGUUGGGUAGGGGAGCGUUCUGUAAGCCUGUGAAGGUGUGUCGUGAGGCAUGCUGGAGGUAUCAGAAGUGCGAAUGCUGACAUAAGUAACGAUAAAGCGGGUGAAAAGCCCGCUCGCCGGAAGACCAAGGGUUCCUGUCCAACGUUAAUCGGGGCAGGGUGAGUCGACCCCUAAGGCGAGGCCGAAAGGCGUAGUCGAUGGGAAACGGGUUAAUAUUCCCGUACUUGGUGUUACUGCGAAGGGGGGACGGAGAAGGCUAUGUUGGCCGGGCGACGGUUGUCCCGGUUUAAGCGUGUAGGUGUGUGUUCCAGGUAAAUCCGGUUCACUUUAACACUGAGGCGUGACGACGAGGCACUACGGUGCUGAAGCAACAAAUGCCCUGCUUCCAGGAAAAGCCUCUAAGCAUCAGGUAACAUCAAAUCGUACCCCAAACCGACACAGGUGGUCAGGUAGAGAAUACCAAGGCGCUUGAGAGAACUCGGGUGAAGGAACUAGGCAAAAUGGUGCCGUAACUUCGGGAGAAGGCACGCUGACACGUAGGUGAAGUGAUUUACUCAUGGAGCUGAAGUCAGUCGAAGAUACCAGCUGGCUGCAACUGUUUAUUAAAAACACAGCACUGUGCAAACACGAAAGUGGACGUAUACGGUGUGACGCCUGCCCGGUGCCGGAAGGUUAAUUGAUGGGGUCAGCGCAAGCGAAGCUCCUGAUCGAAGCCCCGGUAAACGGCGGCCGUAACUAUAACGGUCCUAAGGUAGCGAAAUUCCUUGUCGGGUAAGUUCCGACCUGCACGAAUGGCGUAAUGAUGGCCAGGCUGUCUCCACCCGAGACUCAGUGAAAUUGAACUCGCUGUGAAGAUGCAGUGUACCCGCGGCAAGACGGAAAGACCCCGUGAACCUUUACUAUAGCUUGACACUGAACAUUGAGCCUUGAUGUGUAGGAUAGGUGGGAGGCUUUGAAGUGUGGACGCCAGUCUGCAUGGAGCCGACCUUGAAAUACCACCCUUUAAUGUUUGAUGUUCUAACGUGGACCCGUAAUCCGGGUUGCGGACAGUGUCUGGUGGGUAGUUUGACUGGGGCGGUCUCCUCCUAAAGAGUAACGGAGGAGCACGAAGGUUGGCUAAUCCUGGUCGGACAUCAGGAGGUUAGUGCAAUGGCAUAAGCCAGCUUGACUGCGAGCGUGACGGCGCGAGCAGGUGCGAAAGCAGGUCAUAGUGAUCCGGUGGUUCUGAAUGGAAGGGCCAUCGCUCAACGGAUAAAAGGUACUCCGGGGAUAACAGGCUGAUACCGCCCAAGAGUUCAUAUCGACGGCGGUGUUUGGCACCUCGAUGUCGGCUCAUCACAUCCUGGGGCUGAAGUAGGUCCCAAGGGUAUGGCUGUUCGCCAUUUAAAGUGGUACGCGAGCUGGGUUUAGAACGUCGUGAGACAGUUCGGUCCCUAUCUGCCGUGGGCGCUGGAGAACUGAGGGGGGCUGCUCCUAGUACGAGAGGACCGGAGUGGACGCAUCACUGGUGUUCGGGUUGUCAUGCCAAUGGCACUGCCCGGUAGCUAAAUGCGGAAGAGAUAAGUGCUGAAAGCAUCUAAGCACGAAACUUGCCCCGAGAUGAGUUCUCCCUGAGACUUAGAGUCUC